rnacentral:lncRNA from 1 species
UGCCAUGUCUUCACUUCUUCUUCUUCUUUGACUAAGGUACACUUAGAGGAAUAACCAAUUUGAGAGCUCCAUAUGUAGCAGUUGUCUUUGGUCCUGAAUCCUUUCAUGAUCACUUCACUUUCUUUGUUAGAAAUCAGACAUUCAGUUUUGGUGAAGUUAACAUUCAGACCUUGAUCACAUAGUUGGUUGAUGCUUAUUAG